rnacentral:rRNA from 1 species
GAUGAACGCUGGCGGCGUGCCUAACACAUGCAAGUCGAACGGAGUCCAGCCUUUAAGACCUUCGGGUCAAAGAGGGGAAGACUGAGUGGCGGACGGGCGAGUAACACGUGGGCAACCUGGCUCAUAGAGGGGGAUAACAGAGAGAAAUUUCUGCUAAUACCGCAUAAGCACACACUGCCGCAUGGCAGAGGGUGAAAAGAGAAUCGCUAUGAGAUGGACCCGCGUCUGAUUAGCCAGUUGGCAGGGUAAGAGCCUACCAAAGCGACGAUCAGUAGCCGAUCUGAGAGGAUGAACGGCCACAUUGGGACUGAGACACGGCCCAAACUCCUACGGGAGGCAGCAGUGGGGGAUAUUGCACAAUGGGGGGAACCCUGAUGCAGCGACGCCGCGUGAGUGAAGAAGUAUUUCGGUAUGUAAAGCUCUAUCAGCAGGGAAGAUAAUGACAGUACCUGAAUAAGAAGCCCCGGCUAACUACGUG